AGUGAACGCUGGCGGUAGGCCUAACACAUGCGAGUCGAACGGCAGCACAGUAAGAGCUUGCUCUUACAGGUGGCGAGUGGCGGACGGGUGAGGAAUACAUCGGAAUCUACUUUUUCGUGGGGGAUAACGUAGGGAAACUUACGCUAAUACCGCAUACGACCUACGGGUGAAAGCAGGGGAUCUUCGGACCUUGCGCGAUUGAAUGAGCCGAUGUCGGAUUAGCUAGUUGGCGGGGUAAAGGCCCACCAAGGCGACGAUCCGUAGCUGGUCUGAGAGGAUGAUCAGCCACACUGGAACUGAGACACGGUCCAGACUCCUACGGGAGGCAGCAGUGGGGAAUAUUGGACAAUGGGCGCAAGCCUGAUCCAGCCAUACCGCGUGGGUGAAGAAGGCCUUCGGGUUGUAAAGCCCUUUUGUUGGGAAAGAAAAGCAGCAGGUUAAUACCCCGCUGUUCUGACGGUACCCAAAGAAUAAGCACCGGCUAACUUCGUG
rnacentral:rRNA from 1 species